GCAAUGGUCAUACUGUGCAUGAUUGCACCAAACAUUAAUAGUUUCAGUGAUUAAAAGUCUUCAGUGAGGAAGUACCUCUAGUGACUGUCUUCUGAAAACAUUGCCUUUUCUCUGAAUAAAUACUUUACAUUGCUAUGUAUUAUAAGUACUUCACUAAGAUGAAGUAGAUUUCGUGCUCAGUGUCCCUUUAAGACUCAGAGACCAAAUAUCAUGGACCACCUGGUCUAUGCAAGUCUUAUCUAUAAAGCCAGAAUGAAUAGAAUCAUUGAAAGUAUGGAAUCCAAAUGCUCAUCUUCUGAGGAAGAACAUUACCAUGGUCAUUUGCGAACAUGAGAAUUGUGAGGAAUUUUAAAUACAAG